AAACAUGUCUUUUUGAAAAUAAUUUAAAGUUUAAUCUGCCCCCUGAUNAAAUUAUUAAAGGGCUGCAGUAUUUUGACUGUACAAAGGUAGCAUAAUCAUUAGUCUCUUAAUUGGUGACUUGUAUGAAAGAUUGGAUGAAAUAUAUACUGUCUCUAUUUAAUUUAUAAAAUUUAAUUUUUUAGUAAAAAAGCUAAAAUGAGUUUGAAAGACGAGAAGACCCUAUAGAGUUUAAUAUUUUAUUUAAUUAUUAUUAAUAUAUAAAUUUUAAAAUUAAAAUUAAAUAAAUUAUUUUGUUGGGGUGAUAGAAAAAUUAAAUUAACUUUUUUUUUAUUUUAUACAUUAAUUUAUGAAUAAAUGAUCCAUUAAUAAUGAUUAAAAGAAAAAAUUACCUUAGGGAUAACAGCGUAAUUUUUUUUUUUAGUUCAAAUAGGAAAAAAAGUUUGCGACCUCGAUGUUGGAUUAAGAUAAAAUUUAAAUGCAAAAGUUUAAAAUUUUGAUCUGUUCGAUCAUUAAAAUCUUA
rnacentral:rRNA from 1 species